CUACUGUAUCCCCAUUCGCUUGCGAGCACCACCUGCCCACCCCUCGUCUAGCCAGUGCCCAUCGCGCUUCCAUCAGAGCCACGCCACGAGAAAGACGCAGCAACAACGACGAACACAGGAGAACACUC
rfam:Myotis davidii contig146021, whole genome shotgun sequence.